UGAUGUAACAUCUGUUCCCUCAAAA
rnacentral:piRNA from 1 species